CCGAGUUUCUAAAGACUCCAAACCCUUGGCAACAGUACCGUCAGAGUUGCUUCGGGGGCCUGGCCCUCCCUGGGGGCUGCCUACACAGGGGUGCACCGACAGGUAUUCAAAAUCUCUGUCAUUGUAGUCUGAUCUACUGAGAAAAAAAGCAAAUAAGUCA
rnacentral:misc_RNA from 1 species